AACGCGAAGAACCUUACCAUCCCUUGACAUGUCGUGCCAGCUGGAGAGAUCCAGGGUUCCCUUCGGGGACGCGAACACAGGUGCUGCAUGACUGUCGUCAGCUCGUGUCGUGAGAUGUUGGGUUAAGUCCCGCAACGAGCGCAACCCUUGUCAUUAGUUGCCAUCAUUCAGUUGGGCACUCUAGGGAGACUGCCGGUGAUAAGCCGCGAGGAAGGUGUGGAUGACGUCAAGUCCUCAUGGCCCUUACGGGAUGGGCUACACACGUGCUACAAUGGCGGUGACAGUGGGAAGCGAAGGAGCGAUCUGGAGCAAAUCCCCAAAAACCGUCUCAGUUCAGAUUGCACUCUGCAACUCGAGUGCAUGAAGGCGGAAUCGCUAGUAAUCGUGGAUCAGCAUGCCACGGUGAAUACGUUCCCGGGCCUUGUACACACC
rnacentral:rRNA from 1 species